GACGAACGCUGGCGGCGUGCCUAAUACAUGCAAGUAGGACGCAGUUGCGAACGGGUGAGUAACGCGUAGGUAACUACCUAUUAGAGGGGGAUAACUAUUGGAAACGAUAGCUAAUACCGCAUACUAGUAGAUGGAGCUGCGUUGGAUUAGUUUGUAGGUAGGGUAAUGGCCUACCUAGGCAACGAUACAUCGCCGGCCUGGGGGGGUGGUCCGCCCAACUGGGAACGGGACCACGGCCCGACUCCUUCGGGAGGGAGCAGUAGGGAAACUUCUGCAAUGGGGGGAACCCUUACCGAGGAACGCCGCGGGGUUGAAGAAGGUUUUCGGGUCGUAAAGCUUUUUUGUUAAGGGAGCGGUACUUAACCAGAAAGGGACGGCUAACUACGUGCCAGCAGCCGCGGUAAUAC
rnacentral:rRNA from 1 species